rnacentral:rRNA from 1 species
AUUGAACGCUGGCGGCAUGCUUUACACAUGCAAGUCGAACGGUAACAGGCCGCAAGGUGCUGACGAGUGGCGAACGGGUGAGUAAUGCAUCGGAACGUGCCCAGUCGUGGGGGAUAACUACUCGAAAGAGUAGCUAAUACCGCAUACGAUCUCUGGAUGAAAGCGGGGGACCGUAAGGCCUCGCGCGAUUUGACCGGCCGAUGUCAGAUUAGGUAGUUGGUGGGGUAAAGGCUCACCAAGCCAACGAUCUGUAGCUGGUCUGAGAGGACGACCAGCCACACUGGGACUGAGACACGGCCCAGACUCCUACGGGAGGCAGCAGUGGGGAAUUUUGGACAAUGGGCGCAAGCCUGAUCCAGCAAUGCCGCGUGCAGGAAGAAGGCCUUCGGGUUGUAAACUGCUUUUGUACGGAACGAAACGGCUCUGGUUAAUACCCGGGGCUAAUGACGGUACCGUAAGAAUAAGCACCGGCUAACUACGUG